rnacentral:lncRNA from 1 species
UUUGAGAUUAUUAUGGAGCAUUCGGAGUACGGUUUGAUGCAUGAUUCUAGAGGAUUGUUUGGGUUAUGUCAGAUGGACCUCGAUCUUUAGUAUUGAUCAUUUGAGGGCUUGAUAGCACGAUGUUUGAGACCGUGGUCGCAGGAUGGGUGGCCUUCAUUUCGGUUAGCUCACACCUUAUUACCUUUAUUGACAUCUAGACCAUUGCUAGCCCUUUGAGCCUCGCAUGGGCAUCAUAACCUUUUAUUUCUUAUAGCCUUGCUCACCUUCUACACCGGGAUAGGGGCCCUUCAGUGUAUGCAUGCAUUGUUUAGGAGUUUCAUGAGCCUUGGACCUAGGGGCGCAUCUUUCUCAUUAUCUUUUCCUAUCAUUGCAUUUCGUCAUAUCUCGUUGGUUCUUCAUCCUCUUCUUUAUUAUAUCUAUCGUUUGUUCUGCUUCAUCUUCUCCCACCCCGAGUGGUGAUCAUCCUCAGUUCAUUACAUGGAGGGUAGUCAUGUCAUUUUCCACUAUCUAUCCUACGGACGUUGAUCCAGGGAUCUUUGGCUUGAGAGGGUCACAUCAUUAAAGAGAGUUUGUGAUAUAUUGAUAUUUGAGGGCUGUUUAUUCAUUUUUUUAUCCCGUCUUUGGGUCUUUCUUGGUUUGCUUUAGAGCAUGUAUAUUUGUAUAUAUGUAAAAAAAAUAAAAAAUAAAAUAAAAUAAAAUAAAAUAAAAAAUGAAAAGAACAAAAAAGAAAAGAAAAAUAAAAGAGGCACAUGUGUGUAUUAUUCUCUAUCAUUGAGUAUGUGUAUAUUAGUGUUCGAGGGGUCGCUUUGUUGGGACAUUUCAUUCUUCGUAUUCAUUUUGUUGUAUGUUUUGAGAGUGAGAUGAGUGGCCUUCUCUUAGGAGCUCUGGGUCAUUGUCCAUUCCAUCAUUGUGUUCGUUAUUGACGUGACCUCCUUUCAUAUUUGAUUUGAGCAGAUCAUCACUUGUUCUCGUAUUCUAUGCUUCAUCAUCAUCCUCGUUUCACUUCUAUUUCAUCAUUUUCAUUCCACCCCUUAUUCCGUUCUUACAGUGACCUCG